CUGCUGUGAUGACUGCUUAGGACACCUUUGGAUGAAGCAUGAAAACAAACAGCUGAAGUCUGAGCGGC